CCUACGGGUGGCAGCAGUGGGGAAUAUUGCGCAAUGGGCGAAAGCCUGACGCAGCGACGCCGCGUGAGGGAUGAAGGUCUUCGGAUCGUAAACCCCUGUCAGCAGGGAAGAACGGUCACUGUGCUAAUCAGCAGUGAAUUGACGGUACCUGCAAAGGAAGCACCGGCUAACUCCGUGCCAGCAGCCGCGGUAAUACGGAGGGUGCGAGCGUUAAUCGGAAUUACUGGGCGUAAAGCGCUCGUAGGCGGUAUGUCGAGUCAAGGGGGAAAUCCCCGCGCUGAACGUGGGAACUGCCUUUGAAACUGGCAAACUGGAGUGUGUGAGAGGAUAGUGGAAUUCCAGGUGUAGGAGUGAAAUCCGGAGAUAUCUGGAGGAACAUCAGUGGCGAAGGCGACUAUCUGGCACAUAACGGACGCUGAGGAGCGAAAGCGUGGGUAGCAAACAGGAUUAGAUACCCCAGUAGUC
rnacentral:rRNA from 1 species